rnacentral:sRNA from 1 species
GAUAUCUGGAUUAUGGGUGGCGCAGUAUCCUAGUCAGUACUACCUUUUCCGAGGGCGGGCCUAAAAAUCCGCCAAGGGCACACUCGAUGAGGUCUCUGGUGCUGGCCGCCGAUGCCCAAUCGGGGGCUGGUGCUGGGGAUUCAGCGCUCUGGGCCGUUUCGGUCCGGCGCUGCCGGAAGGAGGGCGACUCGCAACGGCAUGCGGGCCCCGACCCUCUUUCCGUGGAGGCCUGCACGCGCGGCGGUCGCGCCAACGUGAGCGACGCAGCUGCGGUGCAGUGUAAACCUGCACGCGGUACCGAGACAUGGUGAGGUGCUGGGUGCAGUGUAGCCUGCCUUGAGUGGGCGUGGCGGAUGCGACCGUGGGCCUGCGUGCCCGUAACCCCCGCCGGAAGCCGGCCAGCAGAGGGCGGGGGCGAUGGAAGCUGAAACCACGCCUGCAAAAGAGGCUAGGAAAAGGUGUGUUGUCGAAGAAAAUUCCUAGGCUGCUCGAAAGAGGUCUGGCAGGGAUUGUAGUGUGGUCUAAGUGGUGAUCCGGUUUCGGGUUCGGCGACGGCCCGGCGCAGGCUUAAUCCGAAAGGGCUAGAUGCGGCGACGCUCUAGCGCCUGUGGGGAAAUCCUACCGGACCUUAAGCC